CCUGGGCCUGGCGGGAGCCACAUAGCUCAACACAAGGUCUCUGUCCAACCUCAGCUUCAGCAGGCGGCUGCAUGAGGGAUGGGAGACCCGCUCCCCCAAACUGCAAGGGACGGAUACAAGACAACCACUGUCAUCACUUCUGUUACCAUGGUGCCGGGGGCCCAGCCAACUCUUAAGGAAAAAGGAGUGCAUGGAUUGGAAGAGAAGGAGAGGGAAGACAUCACCUUCUGCUUAGCAGGAGAAAGAAUAAAGCCAAAUUAUUAGGGUCCCAGGAGCUCCGCAAGAUAGUUAUCCAACCAAGGGCUCCCACAAAAACAAGAACAUGUUCUGCAGCCCCAUCUCAAGAACUGAAGACCACACGUGACCUGCGUACAGGAGUGAGACCUUGAAACAAAGUGGGCUUGUUAAGUGCUUGGACCACUCAGAAGACUUGCCAGCCCAAGCACAAUGAAAAGAUAUCUACAUACAGCAAAAAAGCAGGUCACCCAGAGCUACAUGC